rnacentral:tRNA from 1 species
UCCCUAGUGGCUCAGAUGGUAAAGCAUCUGCCUACAAUGCAGGAAACCUGGGUUCAAUUCUUGGGUCGAGAA